rnacentral:rRNA from 1 species
CCUACGGGUGGCAGCAGUGAGGAAUAUUGGUCAAUGGGCGAGAGCCUGAACCAGCCAAGUCGCGUGAGGGAAGACGGUCCUACGGAUUGUAAACCUCUUUUGUCAGGGAGCAAGGACCGCCACGAGUGGUGCGGCGAGAGUCCCUGAAGAAAAAGCAUCGGCUAACUCCGUCCCAGCAGCCGCGGGAAUACGGAGGAUGCGAGCGGUAUUCGGAUUUAUUGGGUUUAAAGGGUGCGCAGGCGGAAUGGGUAAGUCAGCGGUAAAAUUGCGGGGCGCAACCUCGCCGAGCCGUUGAAACUGCUCGUCUAGAGUGGGCGAGAGGUAUGCGGAAUGCGUGGUGUAGCGGUGAAAUGCAUAGAUAUCACGCAGAACUCCGAUUGCGAAGGCAGCAUACCGGCGCCCAACUGACGCUCAUGCACGAAAGCGUGGGUAUCGAACAGGAUUAGAUACCCGAGUAGUC